rnacentral:rRNA from 1 species
AGAGUUUGAUCAUGGCUCAGAUUGAACGCUGGCGGCAGGCCUAACACAUGCAAGUCGAGCGGUAGCACAGAGAGCUUGCUCUCGGGUGACGAGCGGCGGACGGGUGAGUAAUGUCUGGGAAACUGCCUGAUGGAGGGGGAUAACUACUGGAAACGGUAGCUAAUACCGCAUAAUGUCGCAAGACCAAAGUGGGGGACCUUCGGGCCUCAUGCCAUCAGAUGUGCCCAGAUGGGAUUAGCUUGUAGGUGGGGUAACGGCUCACCUAGGCGACGAUCCCUAGCUGGUCUGAGAGGAUGACCAGCCACACUGGAACUGAGACACGGUCCAGACUCCUACGGGAGGCAGCAGUGGGGAAUAUUGCACAAUGGGCGCAAGCCUGAUGCAGCCAUGCCGCGUGUGUGAAGAAGGCCUUCGGGUUGUAAAGCACUUUCAGCGGGGAGGAAGGCGGUGAGGUUAAUAACCUCAUCGAUUGACGUUACCCGCAGAAGAAGCACCGGCUAACUCCGUGCCAGCAGCCGCGGUAAUACGGAGGGUGCAAGCGUUAAUCGGAAUUACUGGGCGUAAAGCGCACGCAGGCGGUCUGUCAAGUCGGAUGUGAAAUCCCCGGGCUCAACCUGGGAACUGCAUUCGAAACUGGCAGGCUAGAGUCUUGUAGAGGGGGGUAGAAUUCCAGGUGUAGCGGUGAAAUGCGUAGAGAUCUGGAGGAAUACCGGUGGCGAAGGCGGCCCCCUGGACAAAGACUGACGCUCAGGUGCGAAAGCGUGGGGAGCAAACAGGAUUAGAUACCCUGGUAGUCCACGCCGUAAACGAUGUCGAUUUGGAGGUUGUGCCCUUGAGGCGUGGCUUCCGGAGCUAACGCGUUAAAUCGACCGCCUGGGGAGUACGGCCGCAAGGUUAAAACUCAAAUGAAUUGACGGGGGCCCGCACAAGCGGUGGAGCAUGUGGUUUAAUUCGAUGCAACGCGAAGAACCUUACCUGGUCUUGACAUCCACAGAACUUAGCAGAGAUGGUUUGGUGCCUUCGGGAACUGUGAGACAGGUGCUGCAUGGCUGUCGUCAGCUCGUGUUGUGAAAUGUUGGGUUAAGUCCCGCAACGAGCGCAACCCUUAUCCUUUGUUGCCAGCGGUCCGGCCGGGAACUCAAAGGAGACUGCCAGUGAUAAACUGGAGGAAGGUGGGGAUGACGUCAAGUCAUCAUGGCCCUUACGACCAGGGCUACACACGUGCUACAAUGGCAUAUACAAAGAGAAGCGACCUCGCGAGAGCAAGCGGACCUCAUAAAGUAUGUCGUAGUCCGGAUUGGAGUCUGCAACUCGACUCCAUGAAGUCGGAAUCGCUAGUAAUCGUAGAUCAGAAUGCUACGGUGAAUACGUUCCCGGGCCUUGUACACACCGCCCGUCACACCAUGGGAGUGGGUUGCAAAAGAAGUAGGUAGCUUAACCUUCGGGAGGGCGCUUACCACUUUGUGAUUCAUGACUGGGGUGAAGUCGUAACAAGGUAACCGUAGGGGAACCUGCGGUUGGAUCACCU